AACGAACGCUGGCGGCAUGGAUUAGGCAUGCAAGUCGAACGGAUGUAGCAAUACAUCAGUGGCGAAAGGGUGAGUAACACGUGAGUAACAUGCCCCCUAGUUGGGAACAACUCCGGGAAACUGGAGCUAAUACCGAAUGUGGAUGCCAGUUCGCAUGGACUGUCAUCUAAAGAUUUAUCGCUAGAGGAAUGGCUCGCGUCCGAUUAGCUAGUUGGCGGGGUAAUGGCCCACCAAGGCGACGAUCGGUAGGUGGUCUGAGAGGAUGGUCACCCACACUGGGACUGAGACACUGCCCAGACUCCUACGGGAGGCUGCAGUCGAGAAUCUUCCGCAAUGGGCGAAAGCCUGACGGAGCAAUGCCGCGUGCCGGAUGAAGGUCUUCGGAUUGUAAACGGCUGUCACUAGGGACGAAAAAAAUGACGGUACCUAGGGAGGAAGCCACGGCUAACUACGUGCCAGCAGCCGCGGUAAUACGUAGGUGGCGAGCGUUGUUCGGAUUUAUUGGGCGUAAAGGGUCCGCAGGGGGCUGAUUAAGUCUGGCGUGAAAUCUCACGGCUCAACCGUGAAACGGCGCUGGAAACUGAUUGGCUAGAGUAUCGG
rnacentral:rRNA from 1 species